rnacentral:lncRNA from 1 species
AGUGAAUAAUAAUAUUGUAUUUAUAUUAAUUUUCAGAAUAUAUCUAUAUUUAUAUUUACAUAUCUGAAAUUAUAAAAAGGUUUUUGGUAAAUGAUAAAAAGCUAAACCAACAUAACCUUGCUCUAUCUACCCGAUUCCGUCUACCUCGGCGCAAGCCGCCCGCGCCUCCCCCCUCCCUCUUCCCUAUCUCAAAUGUAUUGUUUUCCACUGAGGUUUUUCCUUUAUCAUGGGAACCAAACCUUAAUGAGCUUUGGCUAAAUGUCUUGUUUUGCCAGGCCAUUUUACUCUUACGCUAUGGGCAUAUCUUGAGAUGAUCAUGAAGAUGUUUGGUUUCAUUUUUUUGUCUCUCCUCCAAGCUUUUUUGCACACCAAUUGCACUUUGCUUCAAUUUUAUCCCCAACUUUAACCCUUUUGAAUUCAUUCCAAAUAGUUGAAGUCAACUUUCUCUUUGAACCAACACCACCAUUCUAGUCUUCAUCAUUAGAUACUUCAAUCUCUUCCACUUCCUCAUUUCCUCCUAUUGCUUCGGAACCAUUAACAGAUGGUAUAGAACCUUGUUGUGACUGCGAUUCAUUGACAUUAUCGCCCUGAUUGUGGUUGCUCGACGACAUUAUCUCAAUAUCAACUACAAAAUGAAAAGAAAAAACAUAUAGUGAAUGACAUUAAGCAUACAAUGAAUGAAACUAACAAACAUUAGUAAUUUAAGCUUUCACUUAAGCAUAUUGUGGAAUGCUAAGGAUGAAGACCUGUCACCCAUACACUUUUGAGACGUUUUGAUAUAACAAAAUCAAACAAAUAACACAACUCAGUUUAAAUCAGCAAUACAUUGUUCUAACAAGCUGGUGCCUAACAAGUUCAACCAGGAAGACUGAUAAUCACCUCAAUAAUCAUGCUCAAACUAUAGGUCUACGGGAUAGGUUGCUAUUCUUGUUUGCUACUUAAUUUUAGAUGUGAAUGCAAUAGAGAUUAGGGUCGCUCAUGACUCACCUAGUUGGAAUCUUGUAUUGUAGUGAUAUGGUCAGUCAGGAAUUUAGGAUUAUGUGGAUGAAGACAAAAUGGAAUCAUUAUUUAGGUAAAGGUCUAAAAAAGAAUAAUUUCUAAAACAGUGCAGAUUAAUUCAUUCAAUGGCUAUGUUUAUAAUGAAUUGUUGUUAUGGCAGGGGAUCCCUUAUAGCAGCAGGUAUCACUGCUCAGGUUUUUCUUAUGUUAACCUGUAGCUCGGAUAAUGGUAGUUCCUACAUUUCUGUCAAGGUUUGCAAUUGACAAGCUUGCUGGCAAGCACUUUUUUCCUGCCUUAUAGAGUUGUUUAUUUUGGAUAUAGAUUUAGAGGGCAACAUAUAAUAAACAGUUAGUAAAUAGUGUUUGGACCUCUUCUCGACCAAUAUAGAUGUCUACAAAGAAGAUAUGUAGAGUCAUUAAGUUGUGAGAACAACACUAUCUGGAUAUCAUAUUCAACAAAUCAAUAAAGUUCUCCAUAUAUUGUAUAUGCAUAUCUAAAUUAAUAAUAAAUUGAUAUUCUUAUGAUUUGAAAGCUGACAUGUAUUGUAUACGUUCUUUGGAUUAUUCAUAAAUUCUUGUGGAAUAAUAAACUAACAGAAGCAUCAGCUAAUUGGCUGCAUAAGAAAAAAAAUAUAAACCUUCAGUGGCUUUCUUCGGCGUUCUGAAUUCAAGUUCAAUUUGCUUACAGAAACUUGUUUCCUCUAGAAAUUUGUUAUGCCUAGUCGUCUAUCUGGAACUGAAUCCCAUAACAACACAUAAGUUUAGUAUUCACCAAAAAAAGCGGAAUGGAGCAAUGGAGUUAAAGAAAUAAGCGAUGGAAUAUUAUAAGGAAAACAAAUUAAGUUGAUUGAACAAAACCGCUUUUACCUGGAGAGAGAGAGAGAGAGAGAGAGAGAGAGAGAGAGAGAGAGAGGCGUUGUAGCGACAUCAAAAGAAAAAAAAAAGCAAAUUUAUCGUAUAAUUCUGCAUUGUAGCAUAGUAAUAUAAGAUUCAUGUAGUUAAUACGUUUUAUGGUAAUUGGUAACUGAGCAUAUGCGUUUCCAAGUAAAAGCGUGGCCAAUAAUCAUAUCGGAAUGAAGUCAUAAUGUUGCAUAUUAAGCAGCCAAUUGUAUCGAAUGUGACAACAAGGUUUUGAUACAUUGAAGUUCCAUUUGUCUCAUUUACUAAAUUAUUCCAACAAUAGAAUAGACAUUUUCUCUUAAGAUAAAUACUUCUUUAAAUCCUCUCAUUUUUUGUGAACAAAAAAAAGAGCCUUAUGCUAUUUCAUUUACCCUGUUCUCAUCAUUGAUCUAUGUCAAGUAAUCAGAAACGAAGAACAUGGAUAUCAUAAUCUGGAAAAAAAGAUGGAAUAACUUGUAUCCGUAUUUAUAUCCAAAUCUAUGGUUGCUGGUACUCUUUUAUUUUUACUGCUAGCUGGAUCUAAAUACUCUUAUACUGUUGAUAAUUAAUAAUCGGAAGUGCAGAAUAGGUGAUAUGGGGGAGGCUGCGAGAGGGACCUCUGCGGAGCGCACAAGAGGGAGGAUCCGGGAGUCAUUGCGGAGCGCACGAGGAGGGAGAACGGAGAACCAGUGUUGCUGUCGUGGGGAUCGGAAUUUUUUCCCCAGACGACUCUUCGUGCGGAGCCUAGAAUGUUCCCGACGACGAAGAAAAGCGGUAUUUUUUUUUGGGGGUGAAGUCUAGCGGAGAGGACGAAUGGUGAUGAUGUCCGAUGAAGAAGCAUCCAACGGAUAUGGUGAAACGAACUGACGUAGAGUGACGGGAUUCAAGAAUUGCUCCGCGAAGGUGAGCCAUUGAUUCGUGAUCAAGUGGGUAGGAGGAAUUCCAGUGUCCCAUCAGUGUGAUGGUUUGGAAAUAUGGUUUUCUGGAGGUAAAUUGGACCAUACGUGAGAAGGACCUUUUCCUAAAGGAACAGAAGGUAUUUGGGCUGUCAUUUGUUCGGCCUACUCAGCCCAUUACACGUGAGUGACUACUUUCCCCAUCCGACCUGCACAUAAGCUGCCGCCACCGUGUCUCUCCUCUUCAUCC